CGGAACGGGUGAGUAACGCGUGAGGAACCUGCCUCAAAGAGGGGGACAACAGUUGGAAACGACUGCUAAUACCGCAUAAGCCCACGGCUCGGCAUCGAGCAGAGGGAAAAGGAGCAAUCCGCUUUGAGAUGGCCUCGCGUCCGAUUAGCCAGUUGGUGAGGUAACGGCCCACCAAGGCGACGAUCGGUAGCCGGACUGAGAGGUUGAACGGCCACAUUGGGACUGAGACACGGCCCAG
rnacentral:rRNA from 1 species